rnacentral:antisense_RNA from 1 species
GGUGUGGCUCCAACCCCAGACAGCAAAUGCCCCAGACCAGGUGUGGCUCCAACCCUGGAAUCGAUCCCAGACAGUGAAUGUCCCAGGCUCCACGACAGCACCGAGCACCCUGGGACUCCGGCAAUCAGGCGACUGGGACACCUCACAGAAGGGGGACAGCCAUGAUGGAAGGGGGAGGCGCCCACCUGCAGCUUCAGGUCAUGACACGGCACGGAGUGGCAAGGGCCAGGGAAGGCCCUGAGGAUGAGGAUGGGCCUGGACGCUCCCUGAACCACGGCGGGGCAGGGUAGGGAAGGGGGCGCAGAGUCACACAGGCAGUGGGGACGACAGCAGGGCCCAGGCAGCUCAAGGGGCAUGUCGGGUGGGAGGCAGGGACAUGGCGGGUGGGCCAUGGGGGAGGAAAGGACAUGGUGGGUGGGCCACGGGGGAGGAAAGGACAUGGUGGGUGGGCCACGGGGGAGGGAAGGACAUGGUGGGUGGGCCACGGGGGAGGGAAGGACAUGGUAGGCGGGCCGUGGGGGAGGAGGGACACGGCCGGCGGGCCACGGGGGAGGAAGGAUUCUGAGGAGGAGCAGACGGUGCUGGUGGCUGAAGCAGGAGGAUCACUUGAGCCCAGGAGUUUCAGACCAGCCUGAGCCACACAGGGAGGCCC